rnacentral:rRNA from 1 species
GACGUAGGGCGCGAGCGUUGUCCGGAUUUAUUGGGCGUAAAGAGCUCGUAGGCGGCUUGUCGCGUCGACUGUGAAAACCCGCGGCUCAACCGCGGGCCUGCACUCGAUACGGGCAGGCUAGAGUUCGGUAGGGGAGACUGGAAUUCCUGGUGUAGCGGUGAAAUGCGCAGAUAUCAGGAGGAACACCGAUGGCGAAGGCAGGUCUCUGGGCCGAUACUGACGCUGAGGAGCGAAAGCGUGGGGGGCAAACAGG